CACCUCACUAAAAUAUAUUGUAGAUCUUUCUGUGGUAGUUAAUUGAGAAUCCAUUUUCGAUGGAAGUCAAGAGAAUGCAUCCGCAUUAGAAUGCAGAGCGUUUGGACGAUAUUGUAUCUGAUACUGAUAAGCCCCCAUAGUUAAGGCAUACCUCUGAAGUCUUGCUGCUGUCGUGAUUGAAAUACCUUUCUGUGGGUUAAAAAUUGUCAAUAGAGG